rnacentral:lncRNA from 1 species
CUUAGUCUCUUUUUAAAAGUAUUAUUUUACAAAGGAUUUUUUUCCCCAGCUUUAAAAAGUAAGGUUUAUUUAACAAGUUUCACUUGGUAUAAUACAUCUAAAUGAAAAUCAGAAUAAAGGAAAGAUUCAAAUUAAAGCCUCAGAAUUUCAUACAAACGACAUGACCAAGCUUCUAAAGUAUUGGUAUUACAGCUCAAAAUUGUCCCAGAUCUUUAAAAAAAAAGUAGACGUGUACACUCAUGUGCCUUACAGGAUAUUAAAUCAAAAGCUACAAUUAACAAACAUGUCAAAUGUUUUCACUUUGAAAUGUAGACACAGCUCCUAUAUUUUAGUUUUAUAGAAAAGCAUGUUUCUCAGCGUGAAUCUAUAGUUUUCAGUGUAUUGUGGUAUAAGAGCAACACUUAGCAUAAGUGAAACUGCUUUAACCUAAAUAUGCUUACUGCUUAGGAACACCCCUACAACUUAACUAACUUGAGGAAAGCUGAGAGUUGUUUCAGCAGUUAUGGCCAAUGCUGAACUUUGUUAUUACUUCCUAGAUGAAUGUUUCAGUGUUCAAAAUUACUGAGCUUAAAGUUUGAAAACAAUCUUGAUUUCCAGUUUACAGUAAGCAUGAAUCAUAAGUCUGUAAUGCAAAACUGUCAGCUUAAGUUUUGUUAUCUUAAAAAAUAGAAAGAAAGGAAGAAAGGAAAGCAAGUUGACCAGGAGUGAUCAGAAUCAAUUUUAUUUCCCAUUUACCAAUCAUACUGGAUAUACUAGACAUUUCUCCCAUUCUACUGAGCUCCCAUAAAUGCACAUAUUUUAUAUCUGUAGUAGCUGUUUAGUAUGCUUUCUCUACCUAAGCAAGGUUUGACUGAUAGUCACUGGAGUUUUCCUGCAGAACUUGGUCAUAACCACUCACACUGCUCUGACCACCAUAGCUACCUCCAUAACCACCACUCAGCUGCUGGGUAACAGUACCCCCAUAACUAGGCUGGUUUUAUAAGGCCAUUUCUCCCUCAUUUGGCUACCAUAAGCACCACCACUUGGCCCUGCUGUAGAAUUCAAAAAGAGUUCUACACAGCUGUGAUCAUAAGCCCCCCCCCACUUGUUCCUGCAGUAGAAUUCAAAAAGAGCUCCACAUAUCUAUGUUGCAUAUUAACUUUAUCUUUUGCCAUAGCAUCUUCAUGGGUAGCAAAUUCAACAUCUGCCUCAUGAGUAACUCUGCCAUCUGAUUCAAUUUUAAUAUAUACUCUCAUGGGGUUUAAGAGGUAAGAAAAAAUUACAAAUAUCAUUCUUGGUGGCUCUGUAAGGUAACCCCCUCAUGUGUGCACAAUGUCCUGUGGUGCUCUGGAAACUUGACCCACUAUCUCCAUAUCUAUGAUCAGACAUUACUGAGAAACAAUAAUUGAGGUCUGUUGCAAAUCCAUUAGACCAGAAGCUAUACCCAUUAUUAUAGCCAUCAUAGUCAUCAUAGCCUCCAUACCCUCCACCACAUGCACCCUGCCUCGUCCUCUCAAAACCAGCUCCUCUGCCAAUGCUAUUAUAUCUUCUGCCAGCUCCUGGCCUGUCAUAAGGACCUACUUGCUGCAUAGCCAGGAGCUUUCAAGGGGGGUCAUAGUGGGUUCCAACUUCAGCUCUGCUACUGUUGAAGAUUUCAAUGUACCUGUGCCCUAUACUUGUGUUUCUUUAAGACCUUUCUAGCUAUCGCCUGUGAAGCAAACUGCACAAAAGCCUGCCCUGUGCUCCACCCCUGAAAGUCCACCGGCAGUGUCAUCCCACUUGGCACAAUUUCCAACCCUGAAAAGAACUGAACAAUCUUUUCCUUGCUACAGCCAAAUGGAGUCCUCUAAGCCAGAUGAAGCUAUCAUGGCAGUAUCAGGACCAUUCGGACCCAAUCUAUUUCAACACUGUUGCACUUGAAUUCUUUAGUAUAUCUGUGUCACAUGGUUUCUCUGUCCUUCAAAGCCAAUUUCACUUCCUCUUCAGAUUCAAGUUCAACAAAUGCUUCAUCUGUCUUCUUGGUCUGCCUUCUCUGGUGUAGAUGAAACGAAUAAUUGAGGUGCCACUUUGGAUUUUGCAAUCAGAGAAGAAAUGCAUUCCUUUAUCAGCUGGGCAGGACUAGGGUAGCCCCCUGUCACCACGAAUCCCUCCCCAUCUUCGGUGCUCAGCAUCGUGGUGACUCUUGGGCUUUUGGUGGCAAGCUUGGCUCCAUGCAAUUUCAAUGUGGCCUUUGACUCUGCUAGAAUUCCUUCCAGGAAUCUGGUCAACAAAACUACUUACAAAAAUGUUUGCUGUAGCGCGAGUAAUUUUCCUUCUUCUUCCCUCAAAUGCUAUAGCAAGACGGUAGAGGAUGACCAGAACUACUUCUGCUCAUGUAAGAGAUAGUUUUUGUAUAUCAUUUUUGAAUCAAUGUGAAUUAGUUAACAUCAUUUAACAUUAUAUCUGAAACAUGAACCAAACAAGUUAAGACAGCUUUUGACCCCCUUUUGUGGAAAAGUGGCAAAAUGUUUUUAUAUUUCAUAUUGUUGACCUUUCAAAUAAACCAGAUUCUCUUUAUUGUCU